rnacentral:lncRNA from 1 species
AUAGAGAGCCGUGGUGUAGUGGUUAGUGCAUCGGACUACUUACACAAAGGUUCCUGGUUCGAUUCCCGUUUGGGAUGAAAAUUUCAGGAACUCAAUUUUCGGCUCUCCCUUGACACCAUCUGCGAGUAUGGUCUUGAGGAAACGAUGAUAGUCCGUCGGAAGGGGACGAUAAAUUGCUGACCCGUGUUAAGAGAGAGCCAUAUCUCUUGCACGUUAAAGACACCCUUGUAGAUUUCGAAAAAGAGUAGGCUAAUGCCGCUACAAGGCAGCACUCACACCCACAAAGUGGAAAGGGAUUAAUAUAAGUUGCAAAACUUGUUUCCCAAUCCACUAUAAAUAAAUAUGUUUAAA